rnacentral:piRNA from 1 species
UAAAAUGAAAGGGAUGCAGAACCCACCCCCU